GAUGAACGCUGGCUACAGGCUUAACAUAUGCAAGUCGAGGGGAAACGACGGGGAAGCUUGCUUCCCCGGGCGUCGACCGGCGCACGGGUGAGUAACGCGUAUCCAACCUGCCUCUGACUGAGGGAUAACCCGUCGAAAGUCGGCCUAAUACCUCAUGGCAUCGUCUGCGGGCAUCCAACGACGAUUAAAGAUUUCAUCGGUCAGAGAUGGGGAUGCGUCUGAUUAGCUUGUUGGCGGGGUAACGGCCCACCAAGGCGACGAUCAGUAGGGGUUCUGAGAGGAAGGUCCCCCACAUUGGAACUGAGACACGGUCCAAACUCCUACGGGAGGCAGCAGUGAGGAAUAUUGGUCAAUGGGCGAGAGCCUGAACCAGCCAAGUAGCGUGCAGGAUGACGGCCCUAUGGGUAGUAAACUGCUUUUAUGCGGGGAUAAAGUGAGGGACGUGUCCUUCAUUGCAGGUACCGCAUGAAUAAGGACCGGCUAAUUCCGUG
rnacentral:rRNA from 1 species